AUGAACGCUGGCGGCGUGCCUAAUACAUGCAAGUCGAGCGAACAGACGAGGAGCUUGCUCCUCUGACGUUAGCGGCGGACGGGUGGGUAACACGUGGAUAACCUACCUAUAAGACUGGGAUAACUUCGGGAAACCGGAGCUAAUACCGGAUAAUAUAUUGAACCGCAUGGUUCAAUAGUGAAAGACGGUUUUGCUGUCACUUAUAGAUGGAUCCGCGCCGCAUUAGCUAGUUGGUAAGGUAACGGCUUACCAAGGCAACGAUGCGUAGCCGACCUGAGAGGGUGAUCGGCCACACUGGAACUGAGACACGGUCCAGACUCCUACGGGAGGCAGCAGUAGGGAAUCUUCCGCAAUGGGCGAAAGCUUGACGGAGCAACGCCGCGUGAGUGAUGAAGGUCUUCGGAUCGUAAAACUCUGUUAUUAGGGAAGAACAAAUGUGUAAGUAACUAUGCACGUCUUGACGGUACCUAAUCAGAAAGCCACGGCUAACUACGUG
rnacentral:rRNA from 1 species